rnacentral:lncRNA from 1 species
CAGGCCCCAGCUCACUCUGAAGAACCUGGGAGGAUAUAACAGUGGGUCCAGAGGGACCAGCGGCUCCAGUCAGUAUCGGAUCAAGAUCCAUGAAAAUCACAUUGAUCUUUCCAUCUGGGGCCUUUGUGAGGGCGGACGUCAGUGAUUGGGGAUGAGCCUGUCAAUCAGAGCUCCCAGUGUGGACUACAGCAGUACCACGGGACUCUGUGGGACGUUCGACUGGAACGGUCACAACGACUUCCAUGGACCUGAUGGGACCACCUAUGGGAGUACUGAACAAGAACGCUUUGUGCAGGAAUGGAGGCUAGCCGCGGGGGAGAGCUUAUUUGACACCGUGCCCCCUGUAAUGGAGGUGGAGGAACUACGGCCUUUCUGUCGGUGUCAGGAGGGCUACAGCAUGUCUCUGCAUUUCACCACGGGCCACACCGGGAGAUAGCCACGAUAACUUUAACCCCUCGUUGCCCCAGCACCAGGCCCAGUGCCAGUCUCACGACAACGUGGAUGUCUUCCCCUGGGUGGACACUACCUCUGAGUACAUUAGGAGCGCUGAGCCAGAACAAAGUUACCACCAGGGAGUGUCCAUUCUGAAAGGCCCAGCUCUGCCUAUGGAGAUACACAAAUAGCCGAGUUCCCAGAUGGUGGACUAUGGUGGGUUUGGGGACCACGUGGAUAAGAGUGAUAGAGAGAUUGACCGGGAGCUCAGAAGAGACUUCCUGGUUGCUGUAGACGACAACAGGCCCAAGACAAAGAGACAGGUCUUCUACCUUUCUAUUUUUUCUUCUCUUUUUGUUUAUCUUGUUGUAUA